CGGGGAAUGGCGCAGAUGGCAGCGCGCACGGUUUGGGACCGUGAGGUCCCGGGUUCAAAUCCCGGUUCCCCGA
rnacentral:tRNA from 2 species